AAGUGUUUUUAAAAUACUAUCAGAACCUCAGGCACUGGCCCAAAAGGCCCUCAUAGAAACACUGUGACUCAUGGGCUCUGUACUCCUUGCCUGGGCUCAGGGAUUACUUUGGUCACAGACAUUA
rnacentral:snoRNA from 1 species